rnacentral:tRNA from 1 species
UUAAUAAAAGCCAAAUAAGAGGCAUAACAUUGUUAAUGUUAUAACUGGAUUUAUAUUUCCUUAUUAAA